rnacentral:rRNA from 1 species
UACGGAGGAGGCAAGCGUUAUCCGGAAUUAUUGGGCGUAAAGCGUCCGCAGGUGGCGAUUCAAGUCUGCGGUUAAAGACUGGAGCUUAACCCUGGAAAGGCCGUGGAAACUGAAACGCUAGAGUGCAGUAGGGGUAGAGGGAAUUCCCGGUGUAGCGGUGAAAUGCGUAGAGCUCGGGAAGAACAUCGGUGGCGAAAGCGCUCUGCUGGACUGCAACUGACACUCAGUGACGAAAGCUAGGGGAGCGAAUGGG